UACGAAGGGGGCUAGCGUUGCUCGGAAUCACUGGGCGUAAAGGGUGCGUAGGCGGAUUGUUAAGUCAGGGGUGAAAUCCUGGAGCUCAACUCCAGAACUGCCUUUGAUACUGGCGAUCUUGAGUCCGGGAGAGGUGAGUGGAACUGCGAGUGUAGAGGUGAAAUUCGUAGAUAUUCGCAAGAACACCAGUGGCGAAGGCGGCUCACUGGCCCGGUACUGACGCUGAGGUGCGAAAGCGUGGGGAGCAAACAGG
rnacentral:rRNA from 1 species